ACCUCUUCUCUUGAUGGGAAGGAUUUAAGAUGUACUGCCUGCCAGCAUCCGGGAAUCGUAAAGUGGAAAUUAGGAAACAGAGUGUUGAUGUCUGGACUACUGUUGUGAAGUUUAAGAUAUAAUACUUUUAUAAAAAAGACUUACCUAUACAGAUCAAUUGAGAGACACAAACUUCUGGGAGGACAGUGAAUUGACAACAUGAAAACGGAAUGAGACAUUCUAGUGGACUAAAUGAUGACACUUAAACUGUAGGGAUCCAAAAAUCUACAACAAUGAGAAGUUCAUUAAUCGGUACAGCAAUGUGUUAAAAAAUUCUAAAUAAAUUAUUUGAUAGUGUUACAAAUGAAAAACUCUAGAAGCAGGUUUUCAAAGAAUUUUAAAAUCAAUAAAACAGUUGUGUUACAACAACACUGUUAUAAAAUCAGUGAUAAACACCA